GAGGAUGAGACUGAGGAAUUGGAAUUGGAAGAUGGAAAGGAGAGGAAAGAUUGUCUAACUGAUUUCCCGCCUGUUGGCUUGAGGAUGGCUUGAGGAAAAGACACUGUGGAAGAGAUCUGCUUAGUCCCUUUGGCAUGGGGGCAGACAGCCAUUGCCUUCACAUGCUAUUCAUCAUGAACUAUGGUACUUGCACUGCAGUCCCUUGGUCUUGCCUUAACUAGACACUUCAUCCUUUCAUGCACAGGACUUCCCAAAGCUCCUUUGGCUCUGGAACUCUCCAUCUGCUCCUAUCAGUUGCUGGAUAGAGUCUCCAUGGUGUCCUUGAUAACUAUUCUCCUAGGCUCUGGCCCCAGAACACUCUGCAG